rnacentral:rRNA from 1 species
UACGGAGGGGGCAAGCGUUAUCCGGAUUCACUGGGCGUAAAGGGUGCGUAGGCGGGUUGGCAAGUCCGGGGUGAAAUCUCUGAGCUUAACUCAGAAACUGCCAUGGAUACUAUUUGUCUUGAAUAUUGUGGAGGUAAGCGGAAUAUGUCAUGUAGCGGUGAAAUGCUUAGAUAUGACAUAGAACACCAAUUGCGAAGGCAGCUUACUGGACAGUUAUUGACGCUGAGGCACGAAAGCGUGGGGAGCGAACAGG